rnacentral:lncRNA from 1 species
UAUGAUAUGAUAUGAUGCAUAUAAAAUCUGAAAAAUACAGAAGAUAAAAUCUACAUGCAUGGAUGUAAGUAGUAGAUCAAAUCUACACCUAUCUGAGUUCAAAACCUGAUACCAGAGCAUGGAUCGAUAAUCAUCACUGCUGAGAGAUGUGGUAAAGAUGAUCCUUGCUGGUUGCUCACAGCCGUACAUGUGUCUGAUCUCUACAGAAGGUUCACUCGAAGCUCCAAUC